UCCGGCAUGGAAGCGCACAUUAGUCACUGAUGCUGCACGGCUUCCCACCACUGCGGGUUAGCGCUCUGUCCAUGAGAUUCUGACCGGGCAAAGGAAUCAUAAGUACAGCAUAGCAGAGAACUUGUUUGCAAGUAUCCGGACAUUUGGAAAGUAACUCACAGAUGGAGAAGUUUUGAUCCCCAUUGCUUGAUUUCGUUCCAUGUAUAAUGAGCUGGAGCUAGAAUUGUUGAAAAACAAAAUCCGGAUCAAACAGAGGAAUUGUGACAGGGGGACCAGGCGACCCUGACACCCAAUGGGAGACCCUCAAACCUGGACCUUCUGUAGUGUAGGGGGAGGAGAGUUUAGUUUUGUGAGGAGAAGAAGUCUUGCGAGGAGCUGGUGUCCAGUGAAAUGGCAGUAAGGAAAGUGUGUUCCAGCUAGCAAGCUGAGGAGAAGCCUUGGGAGGAGAAGUCUACUAAAUUCCAAAGCCACACCAAAUCUCAGGAAAAGACCCGGGUGCUCAGGUGAAUUGUCAAAGUGUGGUGAUAAGCAAAGCUCUUGGAGAAAAUCUCUACUUCAGUCAGUCAGUCAAGUUAAGUCUUUCAAGUCAGCGUGAGCUGCUACUAAUCUUAAAACAGCAAUUACAACUCCCAGCAAGGCGACAGGCUCCCCAGGUCCCACUUUGCCCAUCCCUGUGCAACAAAGUCUGUAUUGUUUAAGUUCUGCUACCUCCAGUAAAGUAAAAAGACAGUUAUCCAUAACCUGGCAUCGUUGUAUUUAUUAUCCUGCGCCUGGCCCAGGAGAAGCAGUUGUUACCUCGGACCAUGUAGGUUAACGGUGCCCUGGCGUCAUGAAGUGAUACAUCUAACCACCCUAAGUCACGUGCCACGAUUUGUCUAACUCCCUGUGGCUGCUACAUAUCUACCUACCUGGUUACCUAGCUACCAAUGCAUUUACCUAUUAUGGGGGCAACCUACCGGAGGACAUACCUGCCUAUGGGGCUGCACUACCUAAUAAGGGAACUAACUACUGUGGGACAUACCUACCUAAUGGGGUAGCUAUCUUCCUACUGGAUGCUGAGCAUUGCUACAGCACCUUGCCAAAGAGUGCUAGAGGCACUAGCUAUGCCUCUGUGUGCCUACCUGUUUAUUUCUUCCUACAAGCUCUAUUAUAUGGCACCUACAGAAAUCUAGGCAGCUUUACUGUACCAUGCACCUCUGCUUUUAUGGAAAGUUUUUUUCUAUGAGGUUAUAAAUGAAUCUAGCAGUUUAAAUAUUGUGGCAUAUUCCACUGGAUGUCAUGUUACAGAGACAUUGCAUCUUUCCCCAUACUAAGUUGUAGUACAUUCUCCAUGAUGCCUGGAUUUUUGCUGAUCAAUGCUGCUGGUCACAAAUUGCCUAACAGGAAAUGCCAGUCAAUGGUUGAAGUGGGUUAAAAAUUCUAGUAAUGGACAUUCUCAUGAAUUAUUAUGUUCCAAAGGAAGAAAUUUACCCCCUUAUGCCCAUGAAUAUAAUUUCCCUGUACAAUGCUGACCUUCAAGUGCUUCACUCUGGAAAUUAACUCAUAAAUUCAAUUACUCUUUCAUGCCCUGUGGAUGAUGUCUGCUAUCAGACUUACCUUCCCUUUCAUAUUAUUAUAAAGGUUUCCAUAAGUUACUUUUUUGUUCAACAAUGUAGGUUUUGUAAAUCUGAAGCCUUUCAAUAAGAUACAACUCUUAAAUUCAUGCAUAUGUUACAGUUUUUAAUUCAAUUUAUCCUUUCAUGCUUUUGAGAUCACUGAAAGGCAAAUCAUGAAGUAGGAAGACUACUUUCUUAAAAAGGCAAGCAAGUGAGCAAAGCCAAGGUUAUUACUGUAUACAGAAAGAAAGUUAUUAAUUUAAAUAAUAUUUUACAAUAGCACAGAAAUCAAGAGAUCAAUAUAACUUAGUUACUUUGUAAAUCCCUAUAACAUUUACUGGGGCUGCUGAAGUAAAAAAAAAAAUUCAUUCAA